rnacentral:rRNA from 1 species
AUUGAACGCUGGCGGCAUGCCUUACACAUGCAAGUCGAACGGCAGCAUGGGUGCUUGCACCUGAUGGCGAGUGGCGAACGGGUGAGUAAUGCAUCGGAACGUACCCGGAAGUGGGGGAUAACGUAGCGAAAGUUACGCUAAUACCGCAUAUUCUGUGAGCAGGAAAGUGGGGGAUCGCAAGACCUCGCGCUUCCGGAGCGGCCGAUGUCGGAUUAGCUAGUUGGCGGGGUAAAGGCCCACCAAGGCAACGAUCCGUAGCGGGUCUGAGAGGAUGAUCCGCCACACUGGGACUGAGACACGGCCCAGACUCCUACGGGAGGCGGCAGUGGGGAAUUUUGGACAAUGGGGGCAACCCUGAUCCAGCCAUGCCGCGUGAGUGAAGAAGGCCUUCGGGUUGUAAAGCUCUUUCGGCCGGGAAGAAAUCGCACAGGUUAAUACCUUGUGUGGAUGACGGUACCGGAAUAAGAAGCACCGGCUAACUACGUGCCAGCCGCCGCGGUAAGAC